UUCCAUUCAGUGUACACACCCCUCAAAGCUGAUAUGGAUCGUCAUGUCAUGCAGUCAUGUCCAAAUUUUACGUAUGUCAACAAAACAACAAAUAAUUGCUGGAGAUUAUCCAUAAAUGUCGUUCAUUAUCUAUGUAGGAUUAUUUAGUUCGCAAGCGUACAAGUGUGGGCCUUAAAACAUUGUAAUUUCUUCAAAAUCUUCCUUUUGACAAAGGAGUUGUAAAACUGCGUUCUCUUGUGGCAAAACGGCAAACUUACUCACGAUUCAUUUUUUUGUCGAUGAUAGAGGAAAUCAUCAACUAGAUAAUUAUGACUAUGGUACUUGUGCAGAGGAUGUUGCUUUAUAUUGUGUUGAUGUUAAGUUGGACAGUCUUACUUUAUACAGCAAAAGGUCCUGUUUUUACUCGCCAACCUUCACAUACAUUUGUUAUUAAAAAUGGUAUGGCAGAACUGAUGUGUGAAGCCACUGGGAUAGAACCACUCAAGUAUAAAUGGUACCAUAAUGGUAAACGUGUUGAGAGUUUUGCCAGAAAACGUAUUUUACGUAAUGGUCAUUUGUACAUUAAACGGGUGAUACAUA